rnacentral:rRNA from 1 species
GAUGAACGCUGGCGGCGUGCCUAAUACAUGCAAGUCGAGCGAACGGACGAGAAGCUUGCUUCUCUGAUGUUAGCGGCGGACGGGUGAGUAACACGUGGAUAACCUACCUAUAAGACUGGGAUAACUUCGGGAAACCGGAGCUAAUACCGGAUAAUAUUUUGAACCGCAUGGUCCAAAAGUGAAAGACGGUCUUGCUGUCACUUAUAGAUGGAUCCGCGCUGCAUUAACUAGUUGGUAAGGUAACGGCUUACCAAGGCAACGAUGCAUAGCCGACCUGAGAGGGUGAUCGGCCACACUGGAACUGAGACACGGUCCAGACUCCUACGGGAGGCAGCAGUAGGGAAUCUUCCGCAAUGGGCGAAAGCCUGACGGAGCAACGCCGCGUGAGUGAUGAAGGUCUUCGGAUCGUAAAACUCUGUUAUUAGGGAAGAACAUAUGUGUAAGUAACUGUGCACAUCUUGACGGUACCUAAUCAGAAAGCCACGGCUAACUACGUG